rnacentral:pre_miRNA from 7 species
AGAUUUCUAUAAGUAGAGCUAACUUAUCCAGCAUACAGACCUAGUGAAAGACUCCCGAAGGGAGACCCUCACUCAGGCCUCGGGACAGCCGCGUACCCAAGAAGACACUGAGACCA